rnacentral:rRNA from 1 species
GACCUCAAAUCAAGUAGGAUUACCCGCUGAACUUAAGCAUAUCAAUAAGCGGAGGAAAAGAAACUNAACAAGGAUUCCCCUAGUAACUGCGAGUGAAGCGGGAAAAGCUCAMAUUUAAAAUCUGAUGGUCUCUGGCUGUCCGAGUUGUAAUCUAGAGAAGUGCUUUCCGCGCUGGACCGUGUACAAAGUCUCCUGGA